rnacentral:rRNA from 1 species
GUCUAUGGCCAUACCAUCCUGAAUGCACCCAAUCUUGUCUGAUCUUUGAAGCUAAGCAGGGUUGGUCCUGGUUAGUGCUUGGAUGGGAGACAAAAUUAUCUGAGCUAGUGUUGGCU